CUCUCUUUCUUAUCUCCUUCUCUGCUCUCUUCUCCCCUUUCUUCUCGAUUCCCCUCCCAGAUCCAGCGGCGGCGGGCUAGGGAGGGGCCGGUCGUGGCCGGGAGCGGCAGCGGCGGCGGGCGGGAGCUGCGCGGCGCGGCGUGAGCGGCAUGGCAGCGGCGGGGGAUCUCCGGAGGCUCUGACAACAACGAUGGGAGGGGCGGCUCUGGUGGCGGCGACGGCGACAACGAGGACAAGGACGGCUGUUGAGGCUUCGAGCGACGUCGACAGCGACGAGGAUGGCGUCGCCGGCGGUGAGCUAGGGUUUCGGCAUUUUUGAGAUUUUUAUUUUUUUUUCGAUUUUUAAUGUGGCUGAUUUGGAUUUGGCUGUUGAUUUUGAUUCGGAUAUCCGGCAAAAAAAGUCCGGAUAGUUUCC
rnacentral:sRNA from 1 species